UGAGUAAUGCUUAGGAAUCUGCCUAUUAGUGGGGGACAACAUUCCGAAAGGAAUGCUAAUACCGCAUACGCCCUACGGGGGAAAGCAGGGGAUCUUCGGACCUUGCGCUAAUAGAUGAGCCUAAGUCAGAUUAGCUAGUUGGUGGGGUAAAGGCCUACCAAGGCGACGAUCUGUAGCGGGUCUGAGAGGAUGAUCCGCCACACUGGGACUGAGACACGGCCCAGACUCCUACGGGAGGCAGCAGUGGGGAAUAUUGGACAAUGGGCGAAAGCCUGAUCCAGCCAUGCCGCGUGUGUGAAGAAGGCCUUUUGGUUGUAAAGCACUUUAAGCGAGGAGGAGGCUACUUGGAUUAAUACUCUAGGAUAGUGGACGUUACUCGCAGAAUAAGCACCGGCUAACUCUGUGCCAGCAGCCGCGGUAAUACAGAGGGUGCGAGCGUUAAUCGGAUUUACUGGGCGUAAAGCGUGCGUAGGCGGCUUUUUAAGUCGGAUGUGAAAUCCCUGAGCUUAACUUAGGAAUUGCAUUCGAUACUGGGAAGCUAGAGUAUGGGAGAGGAUG
rnacentral:rRNA from 1 species